ACCUCUGCAGUACCCCAUUCCCACCUCUGCAGUACCCCCAUUCCCACCUCUGCAGUACCAUCAUGGCCCAGGAGAAGUUCAAGGAGAGAGAACACAGGCUGAGGAUGACCUCCUGGAAACAGCAGGGCAGGAAGAUGAGGGGGUGCAGUGUGAGAUGCAGAGGCACUUGCCGCUGAGAACGCAGGUGAAGACAACUGUGAAAGGCAGGGCUUGUCAAUGAGGCAGACCUGAUCCGGGUUUGAUGGACAGUCCAUGCAACAGGCUCCAGCCAAUAGGAUUUGCACCUAGUUCCGGCAGCAGACAGGAGGAGCAGCUUCUCCAGGCGUGGCCCCACAUCCAUCCCUGUCCUGACAUUUGCUACUGAAUGGGGAACAUGCAGCCAUGCCACUCACAGAACACUAGAGGGAGCCACUGAAGCCAGCCUCCUUUUCUGAUGUCCUUGGAGGGUAACUCCAAACCCACUUCAGGAACGAGAGAGCAGCGGAACUUGGCCAACCAGAUCGCUUGCUUCAAGAGAAACGGAUUGUGAGUUGUAGAAGGAAGAGGAAGAGGAGGAGGAGGAAAGACCUUUGUCUGAACUUUACAACAUGUAUAUGACCUUAAUGCUGAAAACUACAAAAUACGGAUGGUCAAAGGAGCGCUGAGUCACCAGGAAGACAUGCCAUGUUCAUGAGUUGGAUAACUCAACAAAGCAGACUGGUGCCAAACCCAACGAUCCUCAGAGAGGCUUCACGCAGCAACCGGUGGAAACAGAUGCAGAGACCCACAAGCCAAACAUUAGGCAGAGCUC